GUGAAUUAUGGCAGAAUUAGCCCAUGGCAGAAUUACAAGACUACAGAGGCUGGCUAUGGAUGACAGUCGUGCGUCUGGCCUGCUGCACAGCACAUCCACACAGGAGCUAAGGGAUCAUCCUUGCACAGCCCAUCCUGGAAGAAGAGAGUUCACUGAUGAAUCCGACACCGUUUUAUGGCAUGGCAGCAGAAUAAAGGCUAGAAUUGGUCCUGUUCCAAGCCCUUUACAUUUUGCUGUGUGUAAUGGAGACAGGAACUACGAGUUUCCUAUUCAUGCACAAUUUGCUGUCUGAGAGCACACAGUCCUCAAGGUCACAGGGGCUUGCAGAUCUGUGUCUGAGAUGACUUUAAAA